rnacentral:rRNA from 1 species
GACGAACGCUGGCGGCGUGCUUAACACAUGCAAGUCGAACGGAAAGGCUCCAGCUUGCUGGAGUACUCGAGUGGCGAACGGGUGAGUAACACGUGGGUAAUCUGCCCUGCACUCUGGGAUAAGCCUGGGAAACUGGGGCUAAUACUGGAUAUGACCUUUCUCCUUAUGGGGUUUGGUGGAAAGUUUUUCGGUGUAGGAUGAGCCCGCGGCCUAUCAGCUUGUUGGUGGGGUGAUGGCCUACCAAGGCGACGACGGGUAGCCGGCCUGAGAGGGUGAUCGGCCACAUUGGGACUGAGAUACGGCCCAGACUCCUACGGGAGGCAGCAGUGGGGAAUAUUGCACAAUGGGCGGAAGCCUGAUGCAGCGACGCCGCGUGAGGGAUGACGGCCUUCGGGUUGUAAACCUCUUUCAGCAGGGACGAAGCGUAAGUGACGGUACCUGCAGAAGAAGCACCGGCUAACUACGUG